rnacentral:rRNA from 1 species
AGAGUUUGAUCCUGGCUCAGGAUGAACGCUAGCGGGAGGCUUAACACAUGCAAGUCGAGGGGUAACAGGGGUAGCAAUACCUGCUGACGACCGGCGUACGGGUGAGUAACGCGUAUGCAACCUGCCCUAUACAGGAGGAUAGCCCGGAGAAAUUCGGAUUAAUACUCCAUGUGGCAUUUUUUUCGCAUGAAUUAGAUGUUAAAGAUUUAUCGGUAUAGGAUGGGCAUGCGUCCCAUUAGCUAGUUGGUGAGGUAACGGCUCACCAAGGCAUCGAUGGGUAUGGGGUCUUAAAGGAUGGUCCCACACACUGGCACUGAGACACGGGCCAGACUCCUACGGGAGGCAGCAGUGAGGAAUAUUGGUCAAUGGGUGAGAGCCUGAACCAGCCAUCCCGCGUGCAGGAUGACGGUCCUAGUGAUUGUAAACUGCUUUUCUAUGAGAUGAAUAAGAAUUACGUGUAGUUCGAUGACCGUAUUAUAGGAAUAAGCAUCGGCUAACUCCGUGCCAGCAGCCGCGGUAAUACGGAGGAUGCAAGCGUUAUCCGGAUUUAUUAGGUUUAAAGGGUGCGUAGGUGGGCGUUUAAGUCAGUGGUUAAAGCCAUUAGCUUAACUAAUGUAUGCCAUUGAUACUGGAUGUCUUGAAUGUG